AUUGAACGCUGGCGGCGUGCCUAACACAUGCAAGUCGAGCGGUAACAGGUGUAGCAAUACAUGCUGACGAGCGGCGGACGGGUGAGUAACGCUUGGGAAUCUGCCUGUUAGUGGGGGACAACCCGGGGAAACGUACGGGCUAAUACCGCAUACGCACUACGGUGGAAGCCGGGGACCGCAAGGCCUGGCGCUAACAGAUGAGCCCAAGUCGGAUUAGCUAGUUGGUAGGGUAACGGCCACCAAGGCGACGAUCCGUAACUGGUCUGAGAGGACGACCAGUCACACCGGAACUGAGACACGGUCCGGACUCCUACGGGAGGCAGCAGUGGGGAAGUAUUGCGCAAUGGGCGAAAGCCUGACGCAGCGACGCCGCGUGGGGA
rnacentral:rRNA from 1 species